AUUGAACGCUGGCGGCAUGCUUUACACAUGCAAGUCGAACGGCAGCAUGGGUGCUUGCACCUGAUGGCGAGUGGCGAACGGGUGAGUAAUGUAUCGGAACAUAUCCGCAAGUGGGGGAUAACGUAGCGAAAGUUACGCUAAUACCGCAUAUUCCCUGAGGGGGAAAGGAGGGGAUCCGCACGGACCUUUCGCUUACGGAGUGGCCGAUAUCAGAUUAGCUAGUUGGUGGGGUAAAGGCCUACCAAGGCGACGAUCUGUAGCGGGUCUGAGAGGAUGAUCCGCCACACUGGGACUGAGACACGGCCCAGACUCCUACGGGAGGCAGCAGUGGGGAAUUUUGGACAAUGGGGGCAACCCUGAUCCAGCCAUGCCGCGUGAGUGAAGAAGGCCUUCGGGUUGUAAAGCUCUUUCAGCUGGAAAAAAAUCGCAUCACCUAAUACGUGGUGUGGAUGAUGGUACCAGCAGAAGAAGCACCGGCUAACUACGUGCCAGCAGCCGCCGUAACAC
rnacentral:rRNA from 1 species